CUCCGCCCCUGCCAGGGGUGGGCGGAGCUUCCCAUCUCAGCCUCGCCGGCCGGCCGGCUCGGGCGCCAUUUUGAGAGGCUCUUUGUGUGUCGGGGCUGCGAGAGACACACGGUGCUUGCCCGGGCAGCGCAGGGAGCGGGGCCUUGGCCGCUGUGACUGGCCCUUCCCCGGGAGCGCGCGGCGCAACCGGGCCUGAGCGCAUGUUUUGCUAGGCUGAGGCUUUUUGAAAUACCAGCCCUUUAUUAAUGGGACCUCCAGGAUGAUGAAUGCCUUUUUUAUUUUUAAAAUGGAGGAGGAUACAGAGACGCCAAUGGAUCAGACUGACUCUCCUACUGAAAGUGGUGAUAUGAUAGAAACCAAAAGCAAGGGACCAAGAGGUCAGGGCAGAGGAAGAGGUGGCAGAGAUUUUGGAAACAAGGGACAACUUUCAUAUGUCAGAGGGAAAAUGCGAGGCAAAACACUUAAUGGCAUUGGGCCCAUGAGAUAACAUGUCUAUAACAGUACAACACUUAAAUACUUGUGGCACUUUGAAUGUGGAUGUAUUGGCUGUCAUACUUACAGAUGUGUUAACAAUUAUACCAGGAUAGUAGCACAAGGGUGCCACCUGGAACUGUUGCGUACUGACUUACCAACCUGGGCUCUCUUUACACUGUACUGCUGUGACAGGCCCUCAACCCCCUCCAGCACACGUACAGAUCUGUACUGAAAACAAGUGUCUUUCCAGACAUGGGAUAGGAAGAAUGCAUCCAUAUCCUGACCCCCGAGGCAGAAGAGGAGGCAGAGGGGGGCCACCUUUUUUACCACCCCCACCCAUGAGAGGAAUGAUGAGAGAUUCUUUCUCAUUUCUACCACCAAGGCAUGGACUUCCUCCACCACCACCAGGACCAAUGAGCUUCAGAGGCAGGCCACCUCACCCCAGAGCCAGAGGGAUGCUGCAGAUGCCAAGAGGUCGAUUCCCUCCGCCAAGAGGGUAAGAAUGUUUCUUUUGUUUUGUCUUUUUUUAAAUUAAUUUUAUUUGAAACCUAAAAUUGCAGUAAUUUUAAAGCUGUCUCUUGCAAGUAUUAAAAUCAAGGGCUAUAUCCUAUGUAAACAUUUCAGAUUCCAUUGUUGUAGUAAUUUUAACUGCUGUGGAAGACUUUUAAGUAUGCAUGAGAUUGCUAAGAACAAAAUAAGUUUAAAUCCAAAUUGUAAUAUAGUGUUGUAACUCUUUUGUUAUUUUAAAAUAGUUAUCUUGAGGGGAAAAAAACAAUUAUGAUUUUAUCCUUUUACACAGCUUUCCCAAUGGACCCGGUAUACCAUCCCGUCCGCCACCUGGACGGAGCCAGAGAUGGCCUGGACCGCCAGGUGGCAGACACUAUUAAAGAGGCUUAUUCUUUAAAUUGUAUAGCAGGGCGCUUUCUUGUUAUCUUAAAACUAUUUGAAAUGGCUGGACUAAGAACUGCCUAUAAAAUGUUAAAGAUGGCAAAGAAUAUUAAUUGAACUUAGACAACUAAUAUUUUCCAGCAGCCCUCAUGCACCAGUUGGCAAAAGCCAUCUAUUAAAAAACAAUCUGUGACUCCUUGGACUUUUUUCAAGCAUAUCUUUUUUUAAGCCUAGGCUUUAUGGACACUGACUCCUGCGCACUGAACGUAAAAUGAAAAACACGUCUGUUACAAUAGGUCAAGCCUUCAUUUAAUAUACAGAACUCUGAUUGCUUUUGACAGUUGUGUGCAGCUUUUUUUAGUGUAGAACGUGAAUUUGUUUUAAUGCUAUGAUUUUGUGUGUAUAAACAUGAACUUUUUUUAAGGGUUUGAAAUCACUUACAAAUUUUAUAACAGUAAAUGCAGCCAACUGCUUAAUAUUUGGGAAGAGUAUACUGUACUACAUUUUGAAGUGUUACCUGUAGAACCCUGCACAUCCGCGGGAAUCUGCUUUCUAUCCACGGAUAUCCACAGACCAUUUUUGCUGCUCGCAGCUCGGAUGCGGAUACAAAUUUUGUAUCUGCACAGGGAUCUGCGGCACAGUCACCGGAAUGGAAAGGCUGUCACCCAGCCUGCAGGCUCCAGCUCGCGCUCUAAAUCACGCAGCAGUGGGCUGGGCAUUCUGGGAGUUGUAGUUUAUCUCCUCCCUCUGAGCAAGCUGGGGACUACAACUCCCAGAAGGGAGUAAGCCAAGUGCCAUUUUGAAGGUGUGGUUGUUCUUUAAAUGAGCAGGUGGCAAUAACUGUGCAUUCGAGCCUCCGCAACUGCGUAGGGGUGUCCGAGCCCCCCAUGGGGAGGGCGGUGCUGCAUAGAAGGGCCCAGAAUUGUAGCCUUCCUGCCAGGAGUGGGGAGCAGAGCAGGAGGGCUCUGGGGAGAAGUCAGGGGGUGAGGGGUCAGGGAGUGAAGGGUGGUUGAGGGUUGGGGCUUGACACAGACCUGUGUCCCUGCUGCACAGUGACCUGUGGAGCUGUUUAGAGCCCUGCAAAUCCAUGGAUAUCCACAGACAAUUUUUGUGAAUUGGAUGCGGAUACACCUUUUGUAUCCAUGCAGGGCUCUAGUUACACUAAAUGUAAUGGUUAAACAGAAAUUUGUGAAUGUUAAUUUCGAAAAGUGUCAGUAGUUCAUGAAUGAACUUAAAAAACAACUGUGGACUGGUUUUAAUUUUAUGAUAAUUGUUCUUUAUACACAGCUUGACCUCAUUGUUUAAAUGUCCAGUUGUGUAAGUAACUAUAAUUUCUAAACAAAGUGUGUAACUGAACACUUGACCAAUUGUAUAGUACAACUGGUGUAUGCAUUUGCAUUACCUGUAGGAUAAAAUAAAGUUAAAAUGUCAGUUACUUCAAACUAUGCUAACACACAGUAUUGUUAAAAAUCAUAAUUGUUCAUACUGUUAAACGUAUGGAUGGCUGUAUAAUCACCCUAAGAGUUAAUUUAACUUCUGUUAAUGUGAAAAAAAAUAGAUUUCAAAAUAGUGAAACCUGUAAUUUUAUGUUGCUUGUUACUGUUGAAAUUAUAGAGGUAAUUGUAAUACUUUGAAACAGUGCUGUUUAACUUCAAGAAUGAUCACAGUCUGUAAAUUAUUUUAAUCCUUAAAACGUGCUGUGUUCUUUUGUGCUGAGGGCUGAAUUCAAUUUUUUUUAGCAGUUUGGUGCAGGUGGGCUUUUUAACUUAAGCAAUCCCUUCACUGGGUCCAAAGCCUGCAAGCAAAAUAUAAUAUAUGAAGAAAACAAUAAAUUGAGGUAUGAGUGCAAAAAUAGGUGGGUAUUUUCCACUUUACACCUGGCUUCCAGUAAAUCAUGAUAAAAAUUCUUGAAGUACAAUAUUUUAUUAGUAAAUUUAUAGCUGGUUUAUAGCAAUUCUGAUUCUCAAUGUACUUAAUUUUUCCUGAAAGCUAAUAUUUACCUUUCACGUUUUAUUCUUGAGAUCAGAAUAUUUAUACUAUAUUUAAUAUUCAGAGUUGCAUAUUGGGGCAUGGGUUUAUUAAACAUUAGUCAUUUUGGCCAGAAUCUUUACUAUUAAGUAAAGCUUUUUGUGCAUGUUUUGUUUUAUUUUCUUUUGUAUACAUAUUUUAUAAAACAUAGUGUUAACCUCUACCUUACUCUGCUAAGUGACUCGAUAGGUUUUAAAUCUAAUUCUGUUUGUAGUAUGGUGAAAAAAUAUGCUAUUAUUAUCUUCUAAAGGGUAACAUAGUCACCCUUUGAGGCCAGUUGUAGAUGGUAUGCAGACCUUCUGGAGAGCCUACAACAAGCCUUAUCUGAGGUGAGAACAUUUUUAAAACUUCUUUUUAUCAUCCACAAUUUCUCUGUCAUUUACAGACUAAAAAAAUUAGGCAAAUUUUUCUAACAAAUGUACAUGUGUUUAGUAACUAGGUUAGCCAAGAGAAAAUGUGGUGAGAACUUUAGUAUUAAAGCUUCUGUUCUUUAUCUUGUGUUGCAGCAUAUGCCAAACAAUAGUUUUGGAGUCAGUUACUAUAAUGUCCUUCGUUUGUUCUAGUUGUAAUUUCUAAAUUUAGAAACUAUUUCACUUGUUUUUGCUAUUGAGACCUAUAUUUUGAACUCUUUGGAAUUUUUGCUAUGGGGAAACUAUGAAUGGCAGAGCUGAAAUUCAAGCUGGAAGUUCUGUUGAGUUCAAGGAGCAAAAGAUUGGUAUGUUCAUUAUGACUUAAUUUCUUAUACUGUAAUUACUGAAUAUUGUAGAAGCACUUAGGUUUUCUGCAAAGUACUACCAAACUUUUUAGGAAAGAAGUAUGAAUACUGUACAUUAGAAUACAGAAUAGAAUGCCAGUGAUGACUUAUAGUUCUCAGUAUGUGUAAAAAUAGGUAGUGUCUCUUUAUUUUAAAACUGAUAUUCAGUGGGAAAGUUUUCCUGUCAUCUACAUUUUUGUUUAAAAAAAUAAAUUAAACUUUAAAACAUUAUUUUAUUGUGAUCCAAAAGACAGCAUUUACACAGGCUGUCUGAGAGAUACUGUCCUGAAGUAGUAAUUAUUAACACCAAGUGUAUAUAAAAAUAAACAGUAGAGUAUGCAUACUAAAACAAUCAGCUUGAUUGAUGACUUACAAAACUGCAUAUUCUUGCUAUCAGUGUCCUGUUUCUAGUGCACCAGCUGGAGAAAAACAAAAUAAAAAACAAAACCCAUCGGGUCUUUUCAGAUAUAGUUCCAAUAUAGCAGUAAAAUAAAAUUAAAUUGAGAGAAGGGAUUCUUCCCCCCUCUCCCCCCAAAAAAAUAUAAAGGGGUUUUCAAACAGCAAGGAGGAUUAGGCCUAUCGUAUGUCCAUUUUCUUCUUUUAAAGUGUUUUGAUGAGGACUUCUGAGGUUAACUUUUCAAACCCAGAUAUAUUGCAUGACUAUUAGGAUGGGAUACAUUAACAGACAAACCAAAUUGGUUAUACAGAUUUGAAUGAGAAGCAAGUGAAAAGACAACAUUGUUUAUAAAAGCCACUAUGUAAAUUCAUACACUGUUUAGUGUACUAGGAUUACCAUAAUCUUCUGAGAUUUGUGCACUGACUACUUUGGCAGAAGAUAGGUAAAAAGGUAAAUUUUAUCUUUCAUUUUCUCUCUUCUUCUCCCCCCUUUUUAUUUUGUAGAACUCAGCUUUCUUUGAAAAGUUUGUUAUGGCAGUUUUUUUUGUCAGCAAAGCUAAUCUUUCUGCUAAUCUCUAAUUUCUCAGCAGAUGGACCAUCACCGUUUGAAGGAGCAUCUAGUCAAAAUUAUAAGUAUCCUAAAGAACUCUCUCCACUAGUUUUGAUAAACUCAUUCAAUAAUGAUGUAACUCUUUUGUAGUGCAGGGAUUAACAACUUCCUCUAUACAGAAAGGUGAGAUGCUAGAUUUUAUUUUCCUGCAGCAGCUUGGGGGAAAAAACACCUUAUUUUUAAUAGGACUUAUUAAAAUGCUGUUCACAGUUUUCAUUAUUUCCAAUUAGGAAGAGCUCGCUUUUCCAAUAUCUAAGAGUUUGAGAGUAAUUAGUAUGUAAUUAAAAAAAAGUUUCAAAGAAGAAACUAACACAAAAUCUGAUGUGAUAGGUGUCCUUAUCACAAAGAUAUGAAAUGUUGAUUGCGUACUGUCAAAUAAUAUUAUAUGAUAUUAGUUGGAUAGAUUCUUUAUUCUUAUUUUUAGAAGUUGCAUUUUUUAUUCUUCAAUUUAUUAUUCUAUCAAAGAAUAUUAUUGAAAUGCACCUAGCAAGUUGAGCACAGUAAGUGUAAAAAGUAAGUGUCUUUUUAAGGAAGCAAAAAUAAAAUUAUCUUAAUGCUGCCUUGUCUUUUUUUCCCUCCCUUUGCUGUAUAGAAAUAUUGUACUCUGAAAAACAAUGUAAGUGGGGAAGAUUUGCAUUCAGGAAUCUGCU